AUUGAACGCUGGCGGCAGGCUUAACACAUGCAAGUUGAGCGGUAACAGAGAGAAGCUUGCUUCUCUGCUGACGAGCGGCGGACGGGUGAGUAAUGCCUAGGAAUCUGCCUAGUAGUGGGGGAUAACUUGCCGAAAGGUAAGCUAAUACCGCAUACGUCCUACGGGAGAAAGGAGGGGACCUUCGGGCCUUUCGCUAUUAGAUGAGCCUAGGUCGGAUUAGUUAGUUGGUGAGGUAAUGGCUCACCAAGACCGCGAUCCGUAACUGGUCUGAGAGGAUGAUCAGUCACACUGGAACUGAGACACGGUCCAGACUCCUACGGGAGGCAGCAGUGGGGAAUAUUGGACAAUGGGGGGAACCCUGAUCCAGCCAUGCCGCGUGUGUGAAGAAGGUCUUAGGAUUGUAAAGCACUUUAAGUUGGGAGGAAGAGCAGUUAACUAAUAUUUGACUGUUUUGACGUUACCGACAGAAUAAGCACCGGCUAACUUCGUGCCAGCAGCCGCUGUAA
rnacentral:rRNA from 1 species